rnacentral:rRNA from 1 species
UAUCUCGAAAAUAAAAGAUCUAUGUAAUUUAUUUAGUUUAUGUAGCAGUAUAAUUGAAAAAGUUUUCAUGGGUGCGAAAUGUAAAUCGGUUUUAUUAAUAUCUAGCAACUUCCAAAAUAAAUUUAGUUUAAGAUAUUAAGAAUAUUUUUAUUUUAGAAUGUCUUUAUUUUAUAGGGGAUAAGCUCUAUAAAAUAUUUUAAAAAUUUUGAUUAUAUGAACUUUUUUUAGGCUUAGAAUUUGCCACAAGAAAGUGUUAUAAAAUAAAGAAUUAAGAUAAUGAUUUAAAAAGUUUUAAAUAUAUAGGGAGUUAAUUUAUAAAUUGUUUUAUAAAUGUAAAUAUGAUAAUAUUAGUAGAAAAUGUUUUGAGCUUUUCUGGUCUUGUUAUAAGAAACUUUAUAGUAAAAGAACUCGGCAAAUAAGAUUUCCGAAUGUUUAACAAAAACAUUUCCUCUAUGUUAUAGAGGUAAAGCCUGCUCACUGAGAAUUGAAGAGCCGCAGUAUUUUGACUGUGCUAAGGUAGCAUAAUCAUUAGCCUUUUAAUUGGGGGCUGGUAUGAAUGGCUAAACGAGAAAUCGACUUUUUUUAUUAUAUAAAUUAAAUUUAUCUUUUUAGUGAAAAGACUAAAAUUUUUCAAAAAGACGAGAAGACCCUAUAGAGUUUAAUAUAAUAAAAAAUAAAAUUUUAUUAGGUUUUAUAAGGUGGAAUUUGGUUUUAUAUUUUGUUGGGGCGACGUAAAGAUAAAAGAAACUCUUAGUUUUAAAAACUUAAAUAUAAGGAAUCUUGAUCCUUUAAAAAAGAUCAUAAGAAAAAAUUACCUUAGGGAUAACAGCGUAAUCUUUUUUAAGAGUUCUAAUCGACAAAAAGGUUUGCGACCU